rnacentral:rRNA from 1 species
GACGAACGCUGGCGGCGUGCUUAACACAUGCAAGUCGAACGGAAAGGCCCGGCUUUUGUGGGGUGCUCGAGUGGCGAACGGGUGAGUAACACGUGAGUAACCUGCCCUUGACUUUGGGAUAACUUCAGGAAACUGGGGCUAAUACCGGAUAGGAGCUCCUGCUGCAUGGUGGGGGUUGGAAAGUUUCGGCGGUUGGGGAUGGACUCGCGGCUUAUCAGCUUGUUGGUGGGGUAGUGGCUUACCAAGGCUUUGACGGGUAGCCGGCCUGAGAGGGUGACCGGCCACAUUGGGACUGAGAUACGGCCCAGACUCCUACGGGAGGCAGCAGUGGGGAAUAUUGCACAAUGGGCGGAAGCCUGAUGCAGCAACGCCGCGUGCGGGAUGACGGCCUUCGGGUUGUAAACCGCUUUCGCCUGUGGCGAAGCGUGAGUGACGGUAAUGGGUAAAGAAGCACCGGCUAACUACGUG